rnacentral:tRNA from 1 species
UACAGGGUAGCCUAGUGGACAUGGCAUCUGCCCGGUAAGCGGAACACUGUGGGUUCGCAUCCCAUCCCUGGAC